UUCGCUGACGAGUGGCGGACGGGUGAGUAAUGUCUGGGAAACUGCCUGAUGGAGGGGGAUAACUACUGGAAACGGUAGCUAAUACCGCAUAACGUCGCAAGACCAAAGAGGGGGACCCUCGGGCCUCUUGCCAUCGGAUGUGCCCAGAUGGGAUUAGCUUGUUGGUGGGGUAACGGCUCACCAAGGCGACGAUCCCUAGCUGGUCUGAGAGGAUGACCAGCCACACUGGAACUGAGACACGGUCCAGACUCCUACGGGAGGCAGCAGUGGGGAAUAUUGCACAAUGGGCGCAAGCCUGAU
rnacentral:rRNA from 1 species